rnacentral:tRNA from 1 species
GGGAAUGUUGCUCAGUGGUAGAGCACUUGCCUUGCAAGCAUGAGGCCCUGGGUUCGAUUCCUCAGCACCA